rnacentral:rRNA from 1 species
AGUGAGCGCUGGCGGUAGGCCUAACACAUGCAAGUCGAACGGCAGCACAGUAAGAGCUUGCUCUUACGGGUGGCGAGUGGCGGACGGGUGAGGAAUACAUCGGAAUCUACUUUUUCGUGGGGGAUAACGUAGGGAAACUUACGCUAAUACCGCAUACGACCUACGGGUGAAAGCAGGGGAUCUUCGGACCUUGCGCGAUUGAAUGAGCCGAUGUCGGAUUAGCUAGUUGGCGGGGUAAAGGCCCACCAAGGCGACGAUCCGUAGCUGGUCUGAGAGGAUGAUCAGCCACACUGGAACUGAGACACGGUCCAGACUCCUACGGGGGGCAGCAGUGGGGAAUAUUGGACAAUGGGCGCAAGCCUGAUCCAGCCAUACCGCGUGGGUGAAGAAGGCCUUCGGGUUGUAAAGCCCUUUUGUUGGGAAAGAAAAGCAGCAGGUUAAUACCCCGCUGUUCUGACGGUACCCAAAGAAUAAGCACCGGCUAACUUCGUG